rnacentral:rRNA from 1 species
AACGGCCCACCAAGGCGACGAUCGGUAGCCGGCCUGAGAGGGUGAUCGGCCACAUUGGGACUGAGAUACGGCCCAGACUCCUACGGGAGGCAGCAGUAGGGAAUAUUGCACAAUGGGGGAAACCCUGAUGCAGCAACGCCACGUGUGGGGAGAAGCAUUUCGGUGUGUAAACCACUGUCAUGAGGGAAUAAGGCCCGUUUUAGGACGGGAUUGAAUGUACCUUGAGAGGAAGCACCGGCAAACUCGUGCCAGCAGCCGCGGUAAUACGAGGGGUGCAAGCGUUGUUCGGAAUUACUGGGCGUAAAGGGAGCGUAGGCGAAGAUUCAAGCGGAUUGUACAAUCCCGGGGCCCAACCCCGGCUCUGCAGUCCGAACUGGAUCUCUUGGAUAGUUCA